rnacentral:rRNA from 1 species
GACGAACGCUGGCGGCGUGCUUAACACAUGCAAGUCGAACGGAAAGGCCCUGCUUGCCGGGUACUCGAGUGGCGAACGGGUGAGUAACACGUGGGUGAUCUGCCCUGCACUUCGGGAUAAGCCUGGGAAACUGGGUCUAAUACCGGAUAGGAGCCAUUUUUAGUGUGAUGGUUGGAAAGUUUUUUCGGUGUAGGAUGAGCUCGCGGCCUAUCAGCUUGUUGGUGGGGUAAUGGCCUACCAAGGCGGCGACGGGUAGCCGGCCUGAGAGGGUGGACGGCCACAUUGGGACUGAGAUACGGCCCAGACUCCGACGGGAGGCAGCAGUGGGGAAGAUUGCACGAGGGGCGCAAGCCUGAUGCAGAGACGCCGCGGGGGGGAUGACGGCCUUCGGGUUGUAAACUCCUUUCGCUAGGGACGAAGCUUUUUGUGACGGUACCUAGAUAAGAAGCACCGGCUAACUACGUG